rnacentral:rRNA from 1 species
CAGCAGCCGCGGGAAUACAGAGGGUGCGAGCGUUAAUCGGAUUUACUGGGCGUAAAGCGUGCGUAGGCGGCUUUUUAAGUCGGAUGUGAAAUCCCUGAGCUUAACUUAGGAAUUGCAUUCGAUACUGGGAAGCUAGAGUAUGGGAGAGGAUGGUAGAAUUCCAGGUGUAGCGGUGAAAUGCGUAGAGAUCUGGAGGAAUACCGAUGGCGAAGGCAGCCAUCUGGCCUAAUACUGACGCUGAGGUACGAAAGCAUGGGGAGCAAACAGGAUUAGAUACCCCCGUAGUCCCUGUCUCUUAUAC